AACGAACGCUGGCGGCAGGCUUAACACAUGCAAGUCGAACGAAGUCUUCGGACUUAGUGGCGGACGGGUGAGUAACACGUGGGAACGUGCCUUUAGGUUCGGAAUAACUCAGGGAAACUUGUGCUAAUACCGAAUGUGCCCUUCGGGGGAAAGAUUUAUCGCCUUUAGAGCGGCCCGCGUCUGAUUAGCUAGUUGGUGAGGUAAAGGCUCACCAAGGCGACGAUCAGUAGCUGGUCUGAGAGGAUGAUCAGCCACAUUGGGACUGAGACACGGCCCAAACUCCUACGGGAGGCAGCAGUGGGGAAUCUUGCGCAAUGGGCGAAAGCCUGACGCAGCCAUGCCGCGUGAAUGAUGAAGGUCUUAGGAUUGUAAAAUUCUUUCACCGGGGACGAUAAUGACGGUACCCGGAGAAGAAGCCCCGGCUAACUUCGUGCCAGCCGCCGCAGUAAUAC
rnacentral:rRNA from 1 species